UGCAUAACCAUUUUUCUCUUUCCUCCAUAUCAUCAUAUUUGCUCGUGUGACAAUUGAAAAAGUUAGCUAAAAUUCGUAAUUGCACCUCUGCCGUCACCGAGCAAAACGAUUCACUUCUUUCGUUGAUGUCAUGGAAGAUGUGAGCACCAACAGCCACAUUGGCCGCAUAAGAACAAUCUAAACCUUUAAAACAUGCAACAACCAAGUUAGGCUAUGUAUAAAGCAAGCACUGCUAUCUGCAGCAAUUGUAUAUGACUUCAGCUCAAACUGUAUCUACAUUCAGAGCACCGUCCAAUAAAUUUCUUGGAGGUUCUUCUGCAAUGGAUCAGGAACUCUCCGGGCAGAAUGAGCCAAGAAUGCCACAAUGUUCUGUUCUGGCCCAUGCAGCACUUCCCAAUGC
rnacentral:lncRNA from 1 species